UUCUGGAAGUCUCUCUGCACAUCGUCUUCAUAGUGUGUUUCGUAGAGGUGUGUCUGGUGACAUCGGUCUUCAAAGUAGAAAAUCCCUUCGGAAAAUCCACUUGGCAGCGGCCUCUCCUUUGGGGAGCUUCAGAGAAACAGAAGGUGCCGACCGACCAGCUCUUACCUGAGGGGCACAGCGGAGAGGCUGUCCCCGGAGCAGAGCGCAAGGCGCAGAGGCGUGACCUGGCUGCCCGUCCUUCUGCUCCUCCUCCUGCUUUGAAGCGGCCCUGCUUGUAUCCCAAAGCCCUAGCUACCUCUUUGGAAAAUUCUCCAGUGAGCAAUAAAGUCUCAGCAGCUUC